rnacentral:rRNA from 1 species
CCUACGGGUGACAGCAGUGAGGAAUAUUGGUCAAUGGGCGCGAGCCUGAACCAGCCAAGUAGCGUGAAGGAUGACUGCCCUACGGGUUGUAAACUUCUUUUAUAAAGGAAUAAAGUGAGGCACGUGUGCCUUUUUGUGUUUACUUUAUGAAUAAGGAUCGGCUAACUCCGUGACAGCAGCCGCGGUAAUACGGAGGAUCCGAGCGUUAUCCGGAUUGAUUGGGUUUAAAGGCAGCGUAGAUGGGUUGUUAAGUCAGUUGGGAACGUUUGCGGCUCAACCGUAAAUUUGCAAUUGAUACUGGCAGUCUUGAGUACAGUUGAGGUAGGCGGAAUUCGUGGUGUAGCGGUGAAAUGCUUAGAUAUCACGAAGAACUCCGAUUGCGAAGGCAGCUUACUAAACUGCCACUGACAUUGAUGCUCGAAAGUGUGGGUAUCAAACAGGAUUAGAUACCCCUGUAGUC